AGGAAAUGCAAUAAUGUAACUGGCAGCAACAACAUUCUCUAUCAAUGGCAAAGAUGGAUAACAUCUUUGAACAAUUAAUGCAAAUUACCAUCGCCUCUAUAGAAAGUAGUGAAGCAAGAAAUAAAAGGAUAGAGAUGCAGAUUCGUCACUCCAAUGAGAUAUUGUAUUCUAGGGUUAAUACUGAGGUUAACCCUAAGGAAUAUUGUUGAUGAGGAAAAGGUAGAAGAAUAGAAACAAAAAAGGUUGUUGAGGAGGUAAAGAUAGAGAGAGAUGAGGAAAAGAUAGAGGAAAAAGAAACAGAAAGGUUGAGUGAGGGAGAGAAACAUGAUGAGAAAUAAAAAGAAGUGGUUGAGAGAAAAGAAAAAAAG
rnacentral:lncRNA from 1 species